AUAUCAAUAAGCGGAGGAAAAGAAACCAACAGGGAUUGCCUCAGUAACGGCGAGUGAAGCGGCAACAGCUCAAAUUUGAAAUCUGGCCUCACGGUCCGAGUUGUAAUUUGUAGAGGAUGUUUUGGGUACCGCCGUGGUUUAAAUUUCUUGGAACAGAAUGUCAAAGAGGGUGAGAGUCCCGUCUUGGACCGCGGUAGGGCCUGUGUAAAACUCCUUCGACGAGUCGACUUGUUUGGGAAUGCAGGUCAAAAUGGGUGGUAAAUUUCAUCUAAAGCUAAAUAUUGGCCAGAGACCGAUAGCGCACAAGUAGAGUGAUCGAAAGAUGAAAAGCACUUUGGAAAGAGAGUUAAACAGUACGUGAAAUUGUUGAAAGGGAAGCGCUUGCAACCAGACUUGCACGCUGCCGAUCAUCCGGGGUUCUCUCCGGUGCACUCGGUUGCGUUCAGGCCAGCAUCGGUUUGGGUGGUUGGAUAAAGGCCUUGGGAAUGUAGCUUCUUUCGGGGAGUGUUAUAGCCCUCGGUGCAAUGCAGCCUACCCGGACCGAGGACCGCGCUUCGGCUAGGAUGCUGGCGUAAUGGUUGUAAGCGA
rnacentral:rRNA from 1 species